rnacentral:rRNA from 1 species
AAGGAAUAUUGGUCAAUGGGCGAAAGCCUGAACCAGCCAUGCCGCGUGCAGGAAGACGGCCCUACGGGUUGUAAACUGCUUUUAUACCGGAAUAAACCUAUCUACGUGUAGAUAGCUGAAUGUACGGUAGGAAUAAGGAUCGGCUAACUCCGUGCCAGCAGCCGCGGUAAUACGGAGGAUCCAAGCGUUAUCCGGAUUUAUUGGGUUUAAAGGGUGCGUAGGCGGCCUAUUAAGUCAGGGGUGAAAGACGGUAGCUUAACUAUCGCAGUGCCUUUGAUACUGAUGGGCUUGAAUGUACUUGAAGUAGGCGGAAUGUGACAAGUAGCGGUGAAAUGCAUAGAUAUGUCACAGAACACCGAUUGCGAAGGCAGCUUACUAAAGUAUGAUUGACGCUGAGGCACGAAAGCGUGGGGAUCAAAC